rnacentral:rRNA from 1 species
GCACAAGCGGUGGAGCAUGUGGCUUAAUUCGACGCAACGCGAAGAACCUUACCAAGGCUUGACAUACACCGGAAAGCAUUAGAGAUAGUGCCCCCCUUGUGGUCGGUGUACAGGUGGUGCAUGGCUGUCGUCAGCUCGUGUCGUGAGAUGUUGGGUUAAGUCCCGCAACGAGCGCAACCCUUGUCCCGUGUUGCCAGCAAGCCCUUCGGGGUGUUGGGGACUCACGGGAGACCGCCGGGGUCAACUCGGAGGAAGGUGGGGACGACGUCAAGUCAUCAUGCCCCUUAUGUCUUGGGCUGCACACGUGCUACAAUGGCCGGUACAAUGAGCUGCGAUACCGUGAGGUGGAGCGAAUCUCAAAAAGCCGGUCUCAGUUCGGAUUGGGGUCUGCAACUCGACCCCAUGAAGUCGGAGUCGCUAGUAAUCGCAGAUCAGCAUUGCUGCGGUGAAUACGUUCCCGGGC